GUCACCACCGGAGGCGCUGCCCGGCGACUCCUAUUGUGAAGCCCGCGGCUGUCCCCUCCCGGGCGCGGGAUGCCAGGGUCAAGUGUCACUUCCUCUGGCAGUCAAUCUCCAAUAUUCCUUGUAAUGUUUCUAAAUGGACGAAUUCAUUACGCGGGGACAUGUGAAUGGGGAGCGGCCGCCGGCGCGCUGGGUCGAGAGCGUCCACUGAGGGUUCACUUCGCACCGCGAGCGCGGCCGGCACCGAGGACGAGCCCAGUCAGCCCCGCUCCCGCCCGGCCGCCGCGGGCCUAAAGGUCACCUAGGGAAGGACCACAGGACAGGAGUGGGCGGCGGCAGGCGGAUCUGGGGAGGAGAGUCAAACUGAUGCAGGAGCCGGGAUGCCCAGGGAGGAAGGCCUGCCUCGGCUGUGGCUGGGUGGCAGUGAGGGCUUCCCCAAGGUGGUCCUGGAGCUCAGAGGGGCCAAGGAGACGGAGCACACCUCCCCAGAGUUUCUCCAGUGAUCCUGAAAAGGACCAUCCGCGAUGCCACCGACCGUCGGAUUCGAUGACUUCCCACUGGUUCGGGAGCUGGCUUUGGCUACCUUGGGGACCCGCAGCCCUCCGCACCUCCCUCCGCAAGUUCAUUGCUAAAUGAUUUGCAAACUUAAACGAUUAUAAUUGUUCCCUUGCCUCGGCCCAAAGAAAUCCUGCUAAGACAAGAGCCUGAUUAGCAAAUCUAGCCUUCCUCUGCAUGUGGCAAAAUGCAAUAAAGAGCUAGGCUUUCUUUUUUUCUCAAUAGUAUCAACAACGGGCUUUGGCAUCAAAUUCUGCAGUGCCUGUUGGUGUGCUUUUAAACACCCACUCUGGGUAUUUAAAAAAUGAAUCGGCGCACAGUCACCUCUGUGGUUGCCUGUGGGGAAGGAGCCCGUUGGCAGACACCUCUGCAGCAGCGCGAGGGGUGUCCUUCCAUGAAAGCGACGCCAGGGGGCAAGAGGCGUUAACAAAGAACGGGUGUAGACAGCUGCCUUUAUCUGCCCGUGCGUGUCACACGUUGCAGGGCGAAAUGUCAUUUUGCAAGGUUAUCCGUUUCCAAUUCCACACAGAGCCUUAUCGCUCAUCGUUUACCUCGUGGGCACAAACAAACAGCCUCUUUAAAUAAAACCAGGCAAGGGAAACAUAUACCUUUGUACAAUUAAAAAUUGCACAAGAAUGCCAAAAUGUAUUGAACCUUGCUGUUAAUCCGACUUACCUUGCUGAUACUUUGGCCUAAUCCUAUUUUCUCCUGCAGGAGAAUGAUUCCACAAGGCCACGUUUUUUUGUUCUUCUGGAGGAUGGUUUACCUGGCCAAUGGGCUGAGGGGUGCGAGCUCCCCACCCCGACCCCCAGCCACCUGAGGCGGGGCGGAGGAUGGCGGGCCUGCCUGCCUGGCCCAGCAGGCUGGAGGUCCGAGAGCACAGAGCCUUCUCUGCCAGGCAGAAAGCAAAUGAAAUCACUCAAGGGAAACUUGGCUGGAGACAAAACACAUUCAAUUUCCUGACUCCGCUUUCUCUCCCGAAUUAUUUGCCUUUGCAGAGGCACGUGAAACAAAUGAAACAUAAAAAUGGAAACUCCCUGGCAAAGAAAAAAAUUUUUUAAGAAAGGAUCUGGUAAUAACAAUAAUAAAAAUGAAAGAAAACAAUA